rnacentral:ncRNA from 1 species
AAAAAGUUUUAUUCUGGCUUAAAAAUUAAGUUUAAUUAUAAUUUAUAUGUAAAUAUAAGUAUAAAUAACUCAGGGUUUUAAUAGGUCUGAAUUUUUUUAUUAUUCGCAGUAAAUAGGUUUAAAUAAUUAAGUAAAUUUAGAUUUAGUGAUAAUUAAUAAUAUUAACAAAUAUUGUGCCAGCAGUUGCGGUUAUACAAAUGAUGUGAUUUAAUUUUUUUAGUAAAAAUUAAUUUUAUAAUAAUUUAAUUUUAUAAUUGAGUUUAUUAGGUGAAAUUUUAAAUUUAAUUAAAAAUUUACAUGAUUUGAUGAAGUUAAGAAAUUUAAUUUAUAAACUAGGAUUAGAUACCCUAUUAUUUUAAAUGUAAAUUAAUUUCUAGAUUAGUAUUAGUUAUGUUCUUGAAAAUUAAAGAUUUUGGCGGUAUUUUAGUCUAUUUAGAGGAACCUGUUCUGUAAUCGAUAAUCCACGAUUAAAUUUACUUAUUUUUUUAGUUUGUAUAUCGUUGUAGUUUGAAUAUUUUAUAAGAAUUAAAUAUUCAAGAUUUUUUAUUAAAAAUAAAUCAAAUCAAGGUGCAGUUUAUAAAUAAGGAGAAAUGGGUUACAAUAAAUUUAUUUAUAUGGAUUUAAUAUUUUAAAAAUUUAAAAGAAAGUGGAUUUAAAAGUAAUUUUAUUAAUUUAAUUAAAAUGAGUUGAGCUCUAGAAUAUGUACAUAUUGCCCGUCGCUUUCAUUAUAAAAUGAAAUAAGUCGUAACAAAGUAGGCUUACUGGAAGGUGAGGCUAGAAAGAA